rnacentral:rRNA from 1 species
ACAUGCAAGUCGAGCGGAAACGAUGAUAGCUUGCUAUCAGGCGUCGAGCGGCGGACGGGUGAGUAAUACUUAGGAAUCUACCUAGUAGUGGGGGAUAGCUCGGGGAAACUCGAAUUAAUACCGCAUACGACCUACGGGAGAAAGGGGGCAACUUGUUGCUCUCGCUAUUAGAUGAGCCUAAGUCGGAUUAGCUAGAUGGUGGGGUAAAGGCCUACCAUGGCGACGAUCUGUAGCUGGUCUGAGAGGAUGAUCAGCCACACCGGGACUGAGACACGGCCCGGACUCCUACGGGAGGCAGCAGUGGGGAAUAUUGGACAAUGGGGGCAACCCUGAUCCAGCCAUGCCGCGUGUGUGAAGAAGGCCUUUUGGUUGUAAAGCACUUUAAGCAGUGAAGAAGACUCCAUGGUUAAUACCCAUGGACGAUGACAUUAGCUGCAGAAUAAGCACCGGCUAACUCUGUGCCAGCAGCCGCGGUAAUACAGAGGGUGCAAGCGUUAAUCGGAAUUACUGGGCGUAAAGCGAGCGUAGGUGGCUUGAUAAGUCAGAUGUGAAAUCCCCGGGCUUAACCUGGGAACUGCAUCUGAUACUGUUAGGCUAGAAUAGGUGAGAGGAAGGUAGAAUUCCAGGUGUAGCGGUGAAAUGCGUAGAGAUCUGGAGGAAUACCGAUGGCGAAGGCAGCCUUCUGGCAUCAUAUUGACACUGAGGUUCGAAAGCGUGGGUAGCAAACAGGAUUAGAUACCCUGGUAGUCCACGCCGUAAACGAUGUCUACUAGUCGUUGGGUCCCUUGAGGACUUAGUGACGC